UACGGAGGGUGCAAGCGUUAUCCGGAUUCACUGGGUUAAAGGGUGCGUAGGUGGGUUGGUAAGUCAGUGGUGAAAUCCCCGAGCUUAACUUGGGGAACUGCCAUUGAUACUACUGAUCUUGAAUUUUCUGGAGGUAAGCGGAAUAUGUCAUGUAGCGGUGAAAUGCUUAGAUAUGACAUAGAACACCAAUUGCGAAGGCAGCUUGCUACAGGGAUAUUGACACUGAGGCACGAAAGCGUGGGGAUCAAACAGG
rnacentral:rRNA from 1 species